CUAUACCUGAGGUGCACGCUUUCCUUAAUUAUGUCCAACCUACUUUUUUGAAAUGGGAAUCUGAUUUUUUUGCAGCUGCCGAGCCGGUUCAGCCGGAAGGCAAAAACAAAAAUAGGAUGCCCACCUGUGUAAGGCACAGGUUUGGACAUAACAAGGGGCGACACUGCGGGUUUUUU
rnacentral:other from 1 species